UACGUAGGGGGCAAGCGUUGUCCGGAAUCAUUGGGCGUAAAGCGCGUGUAGGCGGCUCGAUAAGUCUGCUGUGAAAGUCCAGGGCUCAACCCUGGGAUGCCGGUGGAUACUGUCGAGCUCGAGUCCGGAAGAGGCGAGUGGAAUUCCUGGUGUAGCGGUGAAAUGCGCAGAUAUCAGGAGGAACACCAAUGGCGAAGGCAGCUCGCUGGGACGCGACUGACGCUGAGACGCGAAAGCGUGGGGAGCAAACAGG
rnacentral:rRNA from 1 species